CAGUCGCCGCGGUAAUACGAACCGUGCAAACGUUACUCGGAAUCACUGGGCUUAAAGCGCACGUAGGCGGCGACAUAAGUUAGAGGUGAAGUCCCAUCGGCUCAACCGUGGAACUGCCUCUAAUACUGUGUUGCUUGAGGGAGAACGGGGCAUUCGGAACUUCCGGUGGAGCGGUGAAAUGUGUUGAUAUCGGAAGGAACGCCGGUGGCGAAAGCGGAAUGCUGAGUCUCUUCUGACGCUGAGGUGCGAAAGCUAGGGUAGUGAACGGGAUUAGAUACCCCAGUAGUCCCUGUCUCUUAUA
rnacentral:rRNA from 1 species